CCUAGGAUGGCCGAGUGGUUAAGGUUGUUAACUUAAGAUCCCCUGGGUGUGUCCCCGCGUGGGUUCAAAUCACACUUCUAGAA
rnacentral:tRNA from 1 species